GGUGGGGUUCCCGAGCGGCCAAAGGGAGCAGACUGUAAAUCUGCCGUCAUCGACUUCGAAGGUUCGAAUCCUUCCCCCGCCACCA
rnacentral:tRNA from 4 species